GAACAAUCCCAUCAGCAACCAGACUCAACAUCUGGACAUCACUCACCUCUGUCACACAUGUGCAGUUGUUCCUUCGGAAGGCCACACCCAUUGUCGUGAUUCUGUGCUCCGAUUGGUCAUCAUUGCACUGAUGGGCGUGGCUGCUGCGACUGCUUCUUCUGAUUAAUGACGUCAGAUCGACCAGAGGAUAAACAAAGAAAACAGAAAAGAUAAUGUUGAAGUUAUUCUUUUUUAUAAUUCCAAUAAUAAAAAAAUAAUAAACAAAUCAGAAGAGAUAUCAUAAAAUUUAUCCAGUUAAGCAUGUUUUGGAGAAGUUUAAAUUCAACAUUUCUGUCAAUUAUACCUGUGAAUUUUAGAAGAUUUUGCACCUGUUUUAUCUUUUUUCAUCUAUUCAAGUCUUUGGAAAUGUAUAUUAAGAUAAAACUGGCAAUAAUUUAUUCUAUCUUUAAAAACACAGAGUUAAUUAACUCAACUUUUUAAUUUGUCUUUGUUCACUGACUCAGUUAAGUUGUAUUUAAGCAGAAUAUUAAGCAUGUUUAACUUUAUCACUAGAACAUUACUUGCUCUGGAGCAGGUUAAGUUUAGAGAACUAAAUCAGUUUUUGGAACUGAAAGUUUACCCACAUACUCUGAGAAAAAAUAGCCAUGUUGUAUAACCUGCUUUCUGGGCGUUUUAUCUGAGUAUGUCACUGAAACAGACACAACCAGUCAUCAACCACUUUCAGUUUCAGAAGAACACAAAUUUACUUGUGCAUUUACAUGGACAAACGCUUUCAUUUCCACAGAUUCAGCGUUCUGUGACUAUUGUAAAAUGAGGGUCGUUAUUGUGAUCUUAGUGUAUGUAUUAAUGGCUGGUAAGUGCAUUCAUUUGUUACAGUGUCUUUUCUGAAUGUUAAUGAAACCAAAAGUGUUUGAACAUGACCCAGCUUGAAUUUAUUCAGUUUUAUUCAUUUUUAGCCGUUGCUGUUUUAAAUAUCUAGGGGUUUGAAUUGGUUAUUUUAUGACAUUGCUGUAACAAAUUAUAGCAUGUAAAAUUGUGUCCUGGUCAUUUAUUCUGUAUCGCUAAUUAACAUUUCAAAGGAACAGUCAAAAUAAUUUGAAUUGUUACUUUAAAUGAGUCUAAAACUUUCAAGUGCUGAUACAUUCUGAUUCUGUAAAUGCAUGCAAAAUAAUUGAUACAUUGAUACUGUACAAUUAAAAAUAAAUGAAUUUUAAAAAAUGUAAAUUAAUAUGGUGGAAAAUAUCAAUAAACUAAUUUUAACCGUGGUCUAGGGGUUGAUAAAACAAGCAAUGAUCUCUAAUGUGUGGGAAGAGGAUUUGUAUGAGAAGGUGUUUGUGAGUGAUGUGUAAGAUCAUAAAUGUGUUAAUAAAUGAUGUUCUUCUGCUGUUUGAUUUCA